rnacentral:siRNA from 1 species
UCCACAUUGUGGCCUAAAUCUGUU